GCAAAUGUUAUAAUAUUUCCGUGGGAUUAUCUUUGCACAAAGUUAAUGUCUUAUGUGUCCUUCAGUAGGCAUCAAGGGAUCUUUUAAUAGUUUCUAAUGAUUUUGAUGGAGUUAGGAACACAAAAGAACAGAUUCAAUAAGAGAGUAGUAUUGAUUUCACUGUAAAAUGAGAUCUGAAUUACAAUGAAUCAAUUUGGCAAUACAAUAGCUAUUUCAGUCCUCUCGAAAACAGAAAAACACAGAGAAAAUAAAGGACCAACUAGCUCAAGCUAGCCCCAGCUAUUACCGAAAUUCAAGAAUACGUCCAGAAUACCCGUGUCAGCUGAAGAAUCUCUUAUUUAU
rnacentral:misc_RNA from 1 species